rnacentral:lncRNA from 1 species
AAAAUAUAGUCCAUCUUGCCGAAGUAUUUCCGUAGUUUCGAAGAACGGCAUCUGUUCUACAUGCUGGCGAAUUUUUUUGGAAAACAAAGCGAUGUAAGUGGGAGAAUUUUCGAUUCGAAGUGACGUGCAGACGGAUCGAUAUGUGAGGGCAAAUUCGCGGAAAAUAUUAGUCCAACAAAAGAGGAAUAAAAGGAGAACACACACUAUCAAAUAGGCAAGUCAAUUUCAUUUUAAUUAUAAAAUUUAAUUUUAUGACAUAUUUUUACUAUACUGAUACAUUACUAUACAUUUUUACUAUACUGAUACAUAAAUCUCUGCUGACUCUCGCAUGAUUGGUCUGGACAAAUUUAAAAUUACCGACGACAAUCGUUAGACGUACUAAAAUCAAAAUUUCGCAACUUUUAUGCAAGGAUCUAAUGAAAGGUGUAUCCUUUGCUACAAAUUGACGUAUAUAAAGGAAAGAACGGGGAAUUCUACAGCGAUAUUUGGCGACUAAAGCGGUAAUCGCUACAGCGGAAGUGGGAAGGUUUUUGUAUUUUGACUAUGGCCACUAAUCACCAUGUAUAUUUUAAUUUUUAAAUUAUGGACACAAUGAAAGGCUUUACAAGUUUCAGUACAAGUAUUUAAUACUUUAUUUUAUUGAAGGUUUUAAGGAUUUUUGGAGCGGCUGCUACGCAGGCUACAAUACAGUCAAGCCGCAAAGUUUGCGUGCAGAAUGAAAUAUGAUACGAACGCCCACUGGCUCUACAGAGUACAGGAAUGUAUGUCCCUAUCCUCAAAUCUCAAUGGACAAUGCUAUGUGAAUGUUUAAUACAAUGUGAAAUAAAAGUAGAUUACGUUUGCAAAAAUUAAUUGCAAAAAAUUGCAAACGUAAUCACUUUAUGCGACCUAUCGACCUUUGAAAAGGGGUGUAGAUAAAAAGCGGACGGAUAAAAGGCGGACGGCGGACCCCGGACGGCGGACCGCGGAGCAUUUUAUAAACACAUGAUUACUACCGCAACUAAUAACAAUACCCUAAAUUAAAGUAUACCAACCCUAGAUCUGUGAAAUGAAUAUGUUUUCAUCUGUUUGAAUUUUUAGCAAUGAAAUUUAAUUGAAUCAGCAUUCAGUACAUAUGUAUGAUAGGAGGCUACUGUUCGCCGUCUUUCACAUGAAGCGUUUGGAAAUAUUGCAAAAAAGCGCCUUAGUUUUGGUGCUUCUAUAUAUAACUGCACUAACACUGUCAUUGAAUUAAAAUUUUAUUAGGGGGGGGGGGGGUAUUACAUGACAUUCACUUCCUGUAGUUUUCAUAGUUUAAAUUGUGCUGACUUGUUUUUUUAUAAUGAAAUUAAUCCCCAUUUUACUUACUAAAAGGCUAUCACGUCAGCAUGAGCUCCACCUUUGAAUUUACUAUAUGAGUAUCAUAAUAAUAAAUUCGCGGCACCUAACACUAACCCUAACCCCAACCCCAACUCCAACCCCAACCCUAACCACUAACCCAUAACCAUUAACCAUUAACCCCUAACCCCUAACUUUUUAAACUUUAUAAAUUUUUUUAACUUUUUUAAAAAUAUAACUUUUUAAACUUUUCUUGCUUUUCAAAACUCUUUUAAAACUUUUUAAAACUUUUUUAAAAACUAUUUUUUUAAAAAACUUGAAAAACUUGAGAAACUUCCCACCGCCGCGCGGCCGGCGUCCCUUUUAAUGCCAUUACAUUUAUAAUAAGAAAUCUUGUGUAAUGCUUGUGGUUUUAUGAUUAACUCUAUUGAUAAAUUCAAAAUGUGCCGCGAAUUUAUCAUAAUGAUAAAUUCGGACGUGUUUAAGAAUUUACUCAUAUAGUAAAUUCAAAGGUGGAGCUCAUGUUGAACAGGUAGCAAAAGUCCAUUCAUGUGAGUGCUUACACAUUACUAUUCCACUGUAUAUAAAUGUAGAACGAAAUUAUAACCUUCCCUAAGCCUUCAAAUACAUAUGAUAUAAUACCCAAUAUUUAGGCUGCACACAUAUAUACAUUUUUCAAACAGCUUGUUACACUGAUUACUGUGUGACGUUAACAUAGUAGAUAUUGUAAUAUAUUAUAUUUACAUAAAUAUGUCAGGAAAAUAUCAAUAACUCAAUACUGUUAAAGAAAUGACAAAUAUAUACAAUUGUAAAUAUAUACAAUUGUGAACGUUUGCAUGUCCAAACUUUACAAAAAAUUCUCAUUAUAUAUAUGAUACAAUGUUUCUAUACAAUGUAUAAUAGAUCCAUAGCCUAUACUCAAUACCUACUACCUAUAUGUGCCUACGAAAUAAAACAAUCGUUCAAGAGCCUUGAAUGACAGAAAAAUAUCGAGCAGCAUUAGGAGGUUUAAAAAAUUAUUGGGCUCAAUGAAAAUCCACCCCAUCAAAUGAUCCGCCCCUAUUACAUAAUAUUUCUAAAAUCCAUAUAUAUGUAGAAUAGUCGUCGCAUGCAAAUCGGCCAUUUGGCCCACUUCUACAUGUGAACCUCUUAGGUUUAUAAUUAAAACGAGGAUUAAUUUCAUUAUAAAACAACAAGCAGCACUAUUUAAAUUAUGAAAAUGUCAGCAAGUGAAUGUCAUUUAAUUCUGCCUAACAGAAGCUCCAAAUCUGAGGCGCUUUUUUACAAUAUUUCCAAACGUUUUCCGUGAACGACGGCGUAUAGCCUAUCAUAAAUACGUACUGGAUCAUAAUUUAAAUGCUAAUUAAAAAAUUCCAUUGCUAAAAAUUCGAACGGGUGAAAACAUAUUCAUUUCACAGAUUUAAAGCUGGUAUCAUUUAAUUUAAGGUAUAUUAUAAUUAGUUGCGGUAGUAAUCGUGUGUUUAUAAAAUGCUCCGCCGUCCACCGUCCGCGGUCCGUGGUCCUCGAAUGUGUUGGAUACUCAGUCGAACAAGAUCUUCUAUGACUAUGAGCGCUCGAUAACUGGCCUUUGCAUGUAGCUCAGUUUGUGGAAUCGCAGGGCCGCAUGCGCAGCGGUCCGAUUCCUGCCAGGGAUCUAAAGUUGUUUCCUGGUUAGGUCUAAUAAAUGUAUAUAAAUUUUUACUCGACAGUUUCCAUCUACAAAGAGGAUACAUCCCAAGGGGCUGAUGUUAUUUUCGGCGAAAG